UGCGUAGGGUGCAAGCGUUGUCCGGAAUCAUUGGGCGUAAAGAGCGUGUAGGCGGCCCGAUAAGUCCGCUGUGAAAGUCCAGGGCUCAACCCUGGAAUGCCGGUGGAUACUGUCGGGCUAGAGUCCGGAAGGGGCGAGUGGAAUUCCUGGUGUAGCGGUGAAAUGCGCAGAUAUCAGGAGGAACACCAAUGGCGAAGGCAGCUCGCUGGGACGGUACUGACGCUGAGACGCGAAAGCGUGGGGAGCAAACAGG
rnacentral:rRNA from 1 species